GGGCGCUUGGUUUAGUGGUAUAAUACCUCAUUUGCAUUGAGGGGGUCGCGCGUUCGAUUCGCGCAGUGUCCA